GACGAACGCUGGCGGCGUGCUUAACACAUGCAAGUCGAACGGAAAGGCCUCUUUCGGGGGGUACUCGAGUGGCGAACGGGUGAGUAACACGUGAGUAACCUGCCCUUGACUUUGGGAUAACUUCAGGAAACUGGGGCUAAUACCGGAUAGGAGCUCCUGCUGCAUGGUGGGGGUUGGAAAGUUUCGGCGGUUGGGGAUGGACUCGCGGCUUAUCAGCUUGUUGGUGGGGUAGUGGCUUACCAAGGCUUUGACGGGUAGCCGGCCUGAGAGGGUGACCGGCCACAGUGGGACUGAGAUACGGCCCAGACUCCUACGGGAGGCAGCAGUGGGGAAUAUUGCACAAUGGGUGGAAGCCUGAUGCAGCAACGCCGUGUGCGGGAGGACGGCCUUCGGGUUGUAAACCGCUUUCGCUCAUGACGAAGCUUUGUGUGACGGUAGUGGGUAAAGAAGCACCGGCUAACUACGUG
rnacentral:rRNA from 1 species